UUCGGCUUACAGCAUCCGCCGGACCUUCUCCUCUCUCCGCCUACGCGGUGCGAGUAUGCUGUGUGCGCCAGUGCGCCCGCAAGCCCGCAAGUUCGCGCUCCGCCACGCAGCCCAAGCUCUCUCUAGCCGCGCGCUGAUCGGCCACGUUCGUCAGCCGGGCCCCACGCAAAAAGGCAGCGGGGCCGCGCGCGAGCCGACUGGACACGGACACACACGACGGACGAUUUCUUACUGUUAAUUCGAAGACAAACACGAACGAACGGACCGGGCCGGCUUGGCGAGCAACGCGUCUCCAAGACAAGUCUCUUAAGGAAACGAUCAUUCUUAUAUACUAUAUAUACAUAUAAAUAGCAACGUUCUCGCUCGCCGCUCAAGGAAACAGUUCGACGACGUGGUGUGACACGUAAUACGAGUGAAAACAUUCGAAACACGCGCGCUCCGACCUGAUCACACGAGACCUCUUCGAAGAAACGGGCAGUGACUGUGAGGAAACGAACAGGAUAUCACGGACUGCUAUCCAGUGCGCUGUUUUCGUUUGUGAAACACCGUUUACGCACGUCCUCGAACACGUCUUCUUGGGAUCGCCGCGAUCGUACAGAUUGACGAAUGACGACGUAACAGAGAGCUGGCUGGUGCGCGGAUACCGGGACACAAGAGGGGACAGCAUCUUUCAAACCGCCACAGCAACGUUUAUCAAACCAUAAAACUGGUGUGUCGUUGACCAUCCGGAAAACACGGGAUUGGUUGCGCAAAGGGUUGGUUCAGCAUGCGUGCAAUCCAUCAAAGAGUCAAGAGUUGGCCCUCCUUCAAUCGGCGUUCGCAUUCUUCGAGGCGAGCAGGAGCGCGCGCGUGCACGAACGCCGAAAGAAUCGUGCAUAUGCAUAUCGAUCGAUCGGUGGUCGGUCGGUCGGUCGCGUGUUACACGCCUUGCACGAACGAGCUCCAAGUAUAAGUACGUAAUACGCAGGAAUGAAGGGGCAUGCGUCACGGGACAUCUGCCGCGGGCGCGUGGCCCCCGUUUGUGCCCCAAAGAGCACCGACUGAAGAGAAGGGUCCUUUGAGACAAAGAAAAAGUAUGACGUACCGGCAGCUGCCGCUCACGGUGACGUAGGGCCCCCUCUGUCUACCACCGAUCA